GGGUGUGAUCAUACCAGCACUAAUACACCGGAUCCCAUCGGAACUCUGUAGUUAAGCGUGCUUGGGAGAGAGUAGUACUAGGAUGGGUGACCUCCUAGGAAGUCCUCGUGCUGCAGCCC